UGGGGAAUUUUGGACAAUGGGGGAAACCCUGAUCCAGCCAUCCUGCGUGUGCGAUGAAGGCCUUCGGGUUGUAAAGCACUUUUGGCAGGAAAGAAACGUCAUGGGUUAAUACCCCGUGAAACUGACGGUACCUGCAGAAUAAGCACCGGCUAACUACGUGCCAGCAGCCGCGGUAAUACGUAGGGUGCAAGCGUUAAUCGGAAUUACUGGGCGUAAAGCGUGCGCAGGCGGUUCGGAAAGAAAGAUGUGAAAUCCCAGAGCUCAACUUUGGAACUGCAUUUUUAACUACCGGGCUAGAGUGUGUCAGAGGGAGGUGGAAUUCCGCGAGUAGCAGUGAAAUGCGUAGAUAUGCGGAGGAACACCGAUGGCGAAGGCAGCCUCCUGGGAUAACACUGACGCUCAUGCACGAAAGCGUGGGGAGCAAACAGG
rnacentral:rRNA from 1 species